UACAGAGGUGGCAAGCGUUGUUCGGAAUUACUGGGCGUAAAGGGCGCGUAGGCGGCCAUCUAAGUCAGACGUGAAAUCCCCCGGCUUAACCUGGGAACUGCAUUGGUGACUGGCAGGCUUUGAGUGUGGCAGAGGGAGGUAGAAUUCCACGUGUAGCAGUGAAAUGCGUAGAGAUGUGGAGGAAUACCGAUGGCGAAGGCAGCCUCCUGGGCCAACACUGACGCUCAUGCACGAAAGCGUGGGGAGCAAACAGG
rnacentral:rRNA from 1 species